UCCUACGGGAGGCAGCAGUGGGGAAUAUUGGACAAUGGGCGCAAGCCUGAUCCAGCCAUGCCGCGUGAGUGAUGAAGGCCCUAGGGUUGUAAAGCUCUUUCACCGGUGAAGAUAAUGACGGUAACCGGAGAAGAAGCCCCGGCUAACUUCGUGCCAGCAGCCGCGGUAAUACGAAGGGGGCUAGCGUUGUUCGGAAUUACUGGGCGUAAAGCGCACGUAGGCGGACAUUUAAGUCAGGGGUGAAAUCCCAGAGCUCAACUCUGGAACUGCCUUUGAUACUGGGUGUCUAGAGUAUGGAAGAGGUGAGUGGAAUUCCGAGUGUAGAGGUGAAAUUCGUAGAUAUUCGGAGGAACACCAGUGGCGAAGGCGGCUCACUGGUCCAUUACUGACGAUGAGGAAAAAAAGCGUGGGGAGCAAAC
rnacentral:rRNA from 1 species